CCUACGGGUGGCAGCAGUGGGGAAUAUUGGGCAAUGGGCGCAAGCCUGACCCAGCAACGCCGCGUGAAGGAAGAAGGCUUUCGGGUUGUAAACUUCUUUUCUCAGGGACGAAGCAAGUGACGGUACCUGAGGAAUAAGCCACGGCUAACUACGUGCCAGCAGCCGCGGUAAUACGUAGGUGGCAAGCGUUAUCCGGAUUUACUGGGUGUAAAGGGCGUGUAGGCGGUAUGUCAAGUCAAGGGUGAAAUCCCCGCGCUCAACGUGGGAACUGCCUUUGAAACUGGCAAACUGGAGUGUGUGAGAGGAUAGUGGAAUUCCAGGUGUAGGAGUGAAAUCCGUAGAUAUCUGGAGGAACAUCAGUGGCGAAGGCGACUAUCUGGCACAUAACUGACGCUGAGGAGCGAAAGCGUGGGUAGCAAACAGGAUUAGAUACCCUAGUAGUC
rnacentral:rRNA from 1 species